rnacentral:rRNA from 1 species
UACGUAGGGCGCAAGCGUUGUCCGGAAUUAUUGGGCGUAAAGAGCUCGUAGGCGGCCUGUUACGUCUGCUGUGAAAUCCCGGGGCUUAACCCCGGGCGUGCAGUGGAUACGGGCAGGCUGGAGGCAGGCAGGGGAGAACGGAAUUUCCGGUGGAGCGGUGAAAUGCAUAGAGAUCGGAAAGAACACCAACGGCGAAAGCACUCUGCUGGGCCGACACUGACACUGAGAGACGAAAGCUAGGGGAGCGAAUGGG